UUGAUUCCGGCUUUUUACUAACACUCUGGACGGCAGCUUUGGGAUGUGGAAAUCCAGAGCUUGUUGCCGAUAUGCUGAAUGUGUUUGGAAACGAAUUACACCUACCCGUGUGGGAGACAUCAGUCUUUAAGACAGCACAAAAAGUGAUUUGCCACAGUCAAGAGAAAGUUAACUUGGUACUGCAUCUGGAUUCAGCUGGACAACCCCAGAAUGAGGCCCUGUACAAUCUUGUUCUCCAUGUUCUUCUGCACCUUAAAUCUGCCAGAUUGACCCAACCUCAGCUUGAGGGAAUAUCCACUGAGAUGUGGAAACACAAAGUGAUGUCAUUCCAUAUGGAUUUGUGUCUGCAAGCAGCUCUCUGUCAUAAGGAAUCAGAAAUGACCACCAUAAAGACACUUCACACACUCUUUGGUGUACAGUUCAAUGAAUCUGAUUUCCUCUUAGAUCUGUACUCUCACUUGAGCAACCACAAGACACAAACUCAAGACACAAUCAGUAGUCUCCUCCCAGCACUGCAGCCAUUAUACCAGUCAGCCAAUCUAUUCUGGUCCAUUGACCUCUCAGAGAGAAAGGCCUCGCUCCUCCUGGAAGUGCUGAAACUCCAGAACCAGGAGUGCUCAGUAGAACUGAGAGGCUGGUCAGAUGAAGAGAGUGAAGUGAGGAGUUUCCUUCAGUGUCUGCCCUACAUCUCACAGCUCAGCUUCUAUCACAAAAUUCUUCAUGAACAA